rnacentral:rRNA from 1 species
CAGUAGCCACGGGAAUACAGAGGGUGCGAGCGUUAAUCGGAUUUACUGGGCGUAAAGCGUGCGUAGGCGGCUAAUUGAGUCGGAUGUGAAAUCCCCGAGCUUAACUUGGGAAUUGCAUUCGAUACUGGUUAGCUAGAGUGUGGGAGAGGAUGGUAGAAUUCCAGGUGUAGCGGUGAAAUGCGUAGAGAUCUGGAGGAAUACCGAUGGCGAAGGCAGCCAUCUGGCCUAACACUGACGCUGAGGUACGAAAGCAUGGGGAGCAAACAGGAUUAGAUACCCGAGUAGUCCCUGUCUCUAUACA